rnacentral:lncRNA from 1 species
UAAGGGAAAAAGCAAAGUACAGAACAUUGUUUGAGCAAGCUUUCCACUAAGAAGGGGUGAUUAUUCUGGAGCCAGUGGCAGAUGCUACAGGAGGGAAGAGGCUUCUUUCAGCAGGAAGCACCUGUAACAAGUGGCUGCUUCUGGCCUUGUGGAGUUUCACGUUCCUUUGUUUAUCUUUAAAAACAGGAUGAGAAUGAGAAUAUAUUAAUUGCAG